GCAUUAGCUAGUUGGCGGGGUAACGGCCCACCAAGGCGACGAUGCGUAGGGGUUCUGAGAGGAAGGUCCCCCACACUGGUACUGAGACACGGACCAGACUCCUACGGGAGGCAGCAGUGAGGAAUAUUGGUCAAUGGGCGCGAGCCUGAACCAGCCAAGUCGCGUGAGGGAAGACGGUCCUAUGGAUUGUAAACCUCUUUUGUCGGGGAGCAAAAGACGCCACGCGUGGCGUUCCGAGAGUACCCGAAGAAAAAGCAUCGGCUAACUCCGUGCCAGCAGCCGCGGUAAUACGGAGGAUGCGAGCGUUAUCCGGAUUUAUUGGGUUUAAAGGGUGCGCAGGCGGAAGAUCAAGUCAGCGGUAAAAUUGAGAGGCUCAACCUCUUCGAGCCGUUGAAACUGGUUUUCUUGAGUGAGCGAGAAGUAUGCGGAAUGCGUGGUGUAGCGGUGAAAUGCAUAGAUAUCACGCAGAACUCCGAUUGCGAAGGCAGCAUACCGGCGCUCAACUGACGCUCAUGCACGAAAGUGUGGGUAUCGAACAGGAUUAGAUACCCUGGUAGUCCACACAGUAAACGAUGAAUACUAAUUGUUCGGGGAGAAUGAUCCCUGA
rnacentral:rRNA from 1 species